AAAAUAAAAGAUUUAAAAUCAAAAUAGAAUCAAGAGACAAGUCUGACGCGUCUUUGAUAACGCGUGACAGACACGCUUGCUUCAUUCUUACGCAGAGACGUUAUUAUAAAACAAACACUCGAGCAGUUGAGUUUCGAAGAAAGAAAAUAUAGCGGUUGGAACUUGGAGAUGGCGCGAACAAGAAUCAGAGAAAGCGUUGGCUUGUUCAUGGCUUCUGGUGGAGAGAGAGAGAGAGAGAGAGAGAGAGAGAGAGAGAGAGAGAGAGAGAGAGGGGUAACGCUCUUCCUCUUUCUUUCUGUGAGGGAAAGCGUUGUUUGGCUUUUGAUUUAGGGUUUCUAUUUUCCUCUCUUCCUUUCUUCUUUCUGCCUGAUUAUGGAUUCUUCAAAUUUCUUCUUGGCUUUUCUGAUUUAGGGUUUCUCUCCGCGAGAAUACCAAUAUCAAUUACGGACUCUUGUUGCCACUGUCCCUGUCCCUGUUUUUUACAUUUUCGGGUGAUGGUGGUUUGAGGGCUGGGCCUAACGGCUUCCCCUUUCUGAGUAUGCAAGUCCCUAAAAGGAUAUGGUUGAGAUGACCCUUAAGUCGCGAGAAUGAUAAUUUUGAUUACCGACCCUUGUUGCCUUUGUCGCUGUCCGUGCAUUUUAUAUUUUCAGAUGAUGGUAAUUUGAAGGCUGGGCCUUCUUGGGGUGCCUAAAGGCUUCCCCUUUCUGAGUUUGCAAGUCCCUAAAACGAUAUGAUGAGUAUGUCCCGAGAAUGGUAAUUUCGAUUGCGGACCUGUUGCCUUUGUCGCUGUCCCUUUCGGAUGAUGAAUAUGUCCCUUAAGUCCCGAGAAUGCUAAUUUCGAUUGCUGACCCAUGUUGCCUUUGCCGCUGUCCCUUUUCGGAUGAUGAAUAUGUCCCUUAAGUCCCGAGAAUGGUAAUUUCGAUUGCCGACCCUUGUUGCCUUUGUCGAUGUCCCUAUUCGGAUGAUGAAUAUGUCCCUUAAGUCCCGAGAAUGCUAAUUUCGAUUAUGGACCCUUGUUGCCUUUGUCGCUGUCCCUACAUUUUAAUAGCAAUGACCCUAAAGUCCCGAGAAUGGUAAUUAUGAUUGCGGACCCAUAUUGCCUUUGACGCUGUCCCUUUCCGAAUGAUGGUAAUUUGAGGGCUAAGCCUUCUUGGGGUGCCUAAAGGCUGACCCUUUAUGAGUUUGCAAGACCCUAAAAUGAGAUGGUUAAUAAUAAUGUCCCGAAAGUCCUGAGAAUGGUAAUUAUGAUUGCGGGCCCAUAUUGCCUUUGACGCUGUCCCUUUCCGGAUGAUGGUAAUUUGACGGCUAAGCCUUCUUGGGGUCCCUAAAGGGUUGACCCUUUCUGAGUUUGCAAGUCCCGAAAAUAAGAUGGUUAAUAACGAUGACCCUAAAGUCCUGAGAAUGUUAAUUUCGAUUGUGGAACCUUGUUGCUAUUGUCACUGUCCCUUUUCGGAUCAUCGAAUGAUGGUAAUUUGAGGGCUAAGCCUUCUUGACGUGCCUAAAGGUUUCAUCUUUCUGAGUUUGCAAGUCUCUAAAAUUAGAUGGUUAAUCAUGUUGGCUAAAAUAGUGGACCCUUGUUGCCUUUAUCUUUUGGGAUGAUGAUAAUUUGAGGGAUGACCCUUCAUGAGGGAUCCAAACGAAUAAUGAAUGACAUUUAACAUUUGACGAAAAUUGAGUCCCUAAUUGACGGAAAUAAUUGAUGCAAGUCUCUAAAAUGAGACGGUUUUUAAAUCUUGAUAAUCAAUGGUACUUAACCAUUCGUGCAUUCCGGUGGUGAUUGCUAUGAUCUUUUUGUGGGUGAUAUGAUUCUGGAAGUUUUGUAUCAUGAGGGAAAAGUAGACUGAUGGACUUGCCUGCUUAUAUUGUGGACCUUCUCUUUCUUGAUUUUUUUUAUUCUGUUGUGUGCCUUUUGGUGUUGAUAACUGUGUAAUGAGUUGAAACUAGAUAGUUAAACUAGAUGGUUGAAUUUCCCUUUGUAACUACUUGAAUUUGUAUGAGUUGGUUGAUUUUCUGUGUUGCUCUAGAGGAAGGAGAAGAGAUAGUUAUUAACUUUAACUCAGACCCAAUGAUGUUUAUGCUCCUUUAAUCAAUUCACAGUAUGUAUAUAUAAUUAGCAAUCUUGCCCCAUUGCCCUUAAUUAGAAGUUUGAUGGUCUUUUGGUGUUGAUAACUGGAUAAUGAAUAGGUCAUAUACUCAGUACAGAAGUGAUUUUGCCUCAUUAUUCAAGCUCUGAAAUAAGGGGGAUCUGGACUGGUGUUUAGAACAAGUCAAGCAAUGCAAAAGAGUUAUUUUGUCUAGUGCUGCACUAUUUUUGCUCAACUGAUCCAUCUGCUAUGUUGUCAACAUGAUGGCUAAAGUCUUGCGUUCCACUUGUUGCUUGAAAUUUGGUGAAUAUUUAGUUGUAUUUUUUCUCCUCUAAUGCUUUGCCCCAUAUUCACAUUUUGCAGAUACUUUAAAAUGUGGAAUUGCCAGAGCAGUUCCUCUUCACGGAGGAGGAUUUCAUGCGAUAUGAUGAGUAAGUUGAUUGAAGAACUAUGAUUACAUUUCUCCCUCAAAGCAAUUAACUUGCUUUAAUUUCCUCACCGUGUCGUAAAUUUGUUUGUGCAAAAUAAGGAUCUUCUGACAGAUGAACAACUCCUGUAUCAUACAUAAAGGACAAGUAACCCUGUGCCUUAAUUGAAUUUUGUGCACAUUAUGGAAUCUCGGCCUAGCAAUUUAUGGAUUAUGCAGUACAAUCCCUUGUUAUAGAGAAAGAUAUGUUGGCAUGUGUUUUAUCUUUAAAAUUUCUUUCCUUAAGGAAGUUAUGAUUCUGAACUAAACAGAUCUUUCUAUUUCGUUUAUUUGUAUAUGAUCGUUAUCAAUUACUCAAGUUACUAUAAACUAUAAUGGGUUUACAAUCUCUGUUAUAUCAAUAUUGUAGAAUUUAGGUAAUGAAGCAUGACUUAAAUGUGAAAGAUAACUACAUUUUAUUAGUGUGUGGAAUUAUGUUAUUGAGUUUCUGUUCUGAUUCUUUUACCUUUCAUUUCUAAUAUCCUUAUCUGCCACAUCAAUUUUUCACUGUUUAUAAGCCACAUAUAGGUUCAGACAUUUCCUAACUCCCUUCUUUAUUAUGUUAAUCUUAAUAUAUAUAUAAAAAAUCCCUUUAGAUCACCAGAUACCAUGUUCGAUGAAUCCCCUAGAUUUGUGCCACACAUUGAUGAUCCUGCAAUUGCUUCCCUGACUAGCUACUACUCCAAGGUUUUCCCAGUUGGGUCAGCCAUUUUCCACCAGGAUACAGGCAAGAACGAGUGGUGGGAUUAGGCUUGAAUGAAGAAGAGCUGAAGAGGAACCCGGUCCUCACGGAUAUAUUUUACAAGAUUUAAAUAUGAACCCCACACUCCCAUUUGAAGAUAAACAUCAUCACUAAUGUGGGUUCGGAGAAGGGUCUGGCCAUAUGGUCUAUUGUAGGCAGCCUUACCUAGGUUUUACACAAGAGGUUGUUUCCAAGAAUUGAACUCAUGGCAUCAGUACAUGGCAACAACCUUUUACCAUUGUGCCAAGGCUCCCCUUCUAAAUCGGACAGAUUGGACUAGUUAAUGUUAUCCGGAUUUCAACCAUGUUCAGAGUAAAUCAAAUAAUUUUUUGAAGUUAACCAAGCAUCCCCACAUUCGGUAGCUGAGUCUAAUCCCUCGUCUCACUAUAAGCCUACUAAGCGCUAAGAUGCUGACCAAUAAGAUUUUGCAUUUGUGGUUUACC